CCUACGGGAGACAGCAGUGAGGAAUAUUGGUCAAUGGACGAGAGGCUGAACCAGCCAAGUAGCGUGAAGGAUGACUGCCCUAUGGGUUGUAAACUUCUUUUAUAUGGGAAUAAAAUGCUCCACGUGUGGGAUUUUGUAUGUACCAUAUGAAUAAGGAUCGGCUAACUCCGUGCCAGCAGCCGCGGUAAUACGGAGGAUCCGAGCGUUAUCCGGAUUUAUUGGGUUUAAAGGGUGCGUAGGUGGAUUGUUAAGUCAGUUGUGAAAGUUUGCGGCUCAACCCUAAAAUUGCAGUUGAAACGGGCCGUCUUGAGUACAGUAGAGGUGGGCGGAAUGCGUGGUGUAGCGGUGAAAUGCUUAGAUAUCACGAAGAACUCCGAUUGCGAAGGCAGUUCACUGGACUUCAACUGACACUGAGGCACGAAAGUGUGGGUAUCAAACAGGAUUAGAUACCCUUGUAGUC
rnacentral:rRNA from 1 species